UUCACCACCACUCCUGAUUUUCCUCAAUUUUAUUUAUUGACCUCUACCAGAGAGGCUUUGGAAGACUGUCAUAUAAAUAUUUGCUUUGAGAGGAAACAUCAAAAAGAAACAACACAAAACAAUCCUAACAAACUCCUCGACCCCCACACUUAAGUCUUGUCUUAGGCAGUAAAGCCUAAAACAACACACAUUUUCCUUCAAGCCCCAGCAGACAAUAGCAAAUCCAGUUUGUUCACCCACACCGGCUGCAUUUCCUUUGGGAAAUACUUCAUGCAUUGACAGAAUAAACACUUGACUCAUCCCAGCAACACGGAGCACACACACAAGCCUCCAGACACGCCAGGGAUCCUCAGGCUUGCAAAACACCCCGUAUACAGUUACAUUUUGGCAAGUCCUGUUCAUUAGAAGCUCAGCUUUGGCGAGUGCUUUUAAUCAACAGUACAUCUGUCAGGGACUCGGUGCAAAACUCCCCCGCGGCACACAAGGAAGAAAUUCUUGCUUAUUUUCCAUGCUUCCUUCCCCGAUUUUUUGCCAACCUCUGAAAUUACAGAAGGAGAAAGCGUGGCACCCCGACACUCCGCCCAGCUGACGGGGCUGGACAGCAGGACACCGAGCGGCAGCUCCACGGGCAGCGCGGAGGCGCUGCUGAUGCUGGUUAUUCUAUCCCGGCAGGACCUGGCCCGCGGGCCGCUGGCCCCCAAGGGAUCCCCCAGGGCUCCGCUCCCUGAGGGGCCGGGCGGGAGCUGCGCUGUCCCCUCAGGGAUCUCUCUGUUCCCGCCCGGCCCCGCGCUGUCCCCUCAGGGAGCUCCCGCCGCCCGGCCCCGCGCCUGCGCAGUGCGCACGGCGCCAUCCGGGUCCCGGCGGCCAUGGCGACGGUGGCGGAGCUCAAAGCAGUUUUAAAGGACACUCUGGAAAAAAGAGGAGCUCUUGCCCAAAUCAAAGCGAGGAUCAGAGCUGAAGUGUUCAAUGCCCUGGAUGACCAGAGCGAGCCGCGGCCGACGCUAUCCCGGGAGAACCUCCUGAUCAAUGAGCUCAUUCGGGAAUACCUGGAGUACAACAAGUAUAAAUACUCAGCAUCUGUUCUGACGGCAGCAGACCUCUCCUGUAUGGAAUUCUCUCUCAUUUCUUACACGGUGGUAAAGAAGAAAGUACCCAGAAUAUCCUUCCAAAAGUGUCCUUGCUGAAUUAUCCAAAGCAGAACCUUGGCAAACCACUUGCUGAGAGAAAUCAAAAAGACAGAAUUCCAGAACCAGGAAGGAUGGCUGGCAUGAGCAUCGAAGAGCCUCUCAUUUUACAAAGUAUAAAGAGAUGAUAUCUUUCAUUUUCUAAUUUCUCAUUUCAAGGUCUGUCAGAUUUAAUUUAGGACAUUCUUCAUUUCAUACAUUUCUCCAAUAAAUCCAGUGGGACCAUUUUAGCUUGUAACAUCUACUCAUGAGACAGGAUGACAAGGUCAUACUUACUGUCAAUCUAAAAAUGUUAGAAGGAAGACUGUAUAGGGACUCACAUUAGUGAAUCCUGUGUCUAGAAUUGCACCUGAAUAUACUGAGUUUACCCAAUAAAUUUUUAUAUAAUAAGUUAUAAUUUUUACAUUUAUAUCUUUGUGUGUUUUCCCUGUGUUUCUGAAUAAAAUUUUUCAAUUUUA